GAAUACGAUGCCGCGGGUGAAAAUUUAUUGCUGGAGGUUUUUUGUGCUACUUUUAAAUUGCACCGCGCCGCCAUUCCAUUUCUCUUUGAAAACAAAUCUAUAUAUUUCACUGUUACCUGCUGCUGCUGCUGACUAUCAGGCAGUGAGCAGGCUGUGACUGAGUGAGUGAAUGAAUGGUGGAGAGGGCUUGACGGGUGUGUGCGUGUUGAGAGAGUGCUGCAGCAAGGGGGGAGAUGUCAGUGUCUGAAGGAGGGCCACUGUUGUGCAUUGCAGACUUCUUUCUUGAAGUGCAAGAGAUCUGUGGUCUAGAUUCCGGGGCAGGAAAGGCUAUUAAUGGACCAACGUUGGAAAUCUCUGGAACAAUGACAGCACUGAAAUUAUUAAUUGUAAAUAGUAGCUUAACUAACUUAAAAGGGUCAGUAUGGGGAUUGUAAUUUAUUAUGCUAACUUCACCUGAGAACGUGAUUGAGGUUGUUCUGUAGAGAAGAUAGUCACUGGUGUAAAGUACUUAAGUAAAAAUACUUUAAAAUACUACUUGUUGUUUUUUGGGGGUAUCUGUACUUUACUUUUGAUAUUUUUGGCAACUUUUACUCUGCUACAUUCCUAAUGAAAAGAAUAUACUUUUUACACCAUACAUUUUCCCUGACACCCAAAGUACUUGUUACAUUUUGACAGGAAAAUUGUCAAAUUCACACUUAUCAAGAGAACAUCCCUACUGCCUCUGAUCUGGUGGACUCACUAAACAGAAAUGCUUUGUUUAUAAAUUGUCUGAGUGUGCCUCUGGCUAUCAGUCAAUACAAAAUAAAAUACAAACCAUGCCUAGUUAAAU
ensembl:lncRNA